UGAGGAAUAUUGCACAAUGGGGGAAACCCUGAUGCAGCGACGCCGCGUGGAGGAUGACGGUCUUCGGAUUGUAAACUCCUGUUAAGUGGGAAGAAAGAACUAUCUUUAAUAGAGAUAGGAGAUGACGGUACCACUAGAGAAAGCACCGGCUAACUUUGUGCCAGCAGCCGCGGUAAUACAAGGGGUGCUAGCGUUAUUCGGAUUCAUUGGGCGUAAAGGGUACGUAGACGGCGUGCUAAGUUAGUUGUUAAAUCUCUCGGCCUAACCGAGAUCAAGCGAUUAAUACUGGCAUGCUAGAGGGUGAGAGAGAGGAGUGGAAUUCUCGGAGUAGCGGUAAAAUGCGUAGAUAUCGAGAGGAACACCGAUGGCGAAGGCAGCUCCUUGGCUCAUUCCUGACGUUGAGGUACGAAAGCGUGGGUAGCAAACAGGAUUAGAUACCCGCGUAGUCC
rnacentral:rRNA from 1 species